UACGUAGGAGACGAGCGUUGUCCGGAGUUACUGGGCGUAAAGGGCGCGUAGGCGGUUCGUACAGUCAGACGUGAAAUUCCUGGGCUCAACCUGGGGGCUGCGUUUGAUACGUGCGGGCUUGAGUUCGGAAGAGGGUCGUGGAAUUCCCAGUGUAGAGGUGAAAUUCGUAGAUAUUGGGAAGAACACCGGUGGCGAGGGCGGCGACCUGGUCCGAUACUGACGCUGAGGCGCGAAAGCGUGGGGAGCAAACAGG
rnacentral:rRNA from 1 species